AGAGUUUGAUCAUGGCUCAGGAUGAACGCUAGCGGCAGGCCUAAUACAUGCAAGUCGAACGGGAUCCAUUUUCAGCUUGCUGAGGAUGGUGAGAGUGGCGGAUGGGUGCGUAACGCGUGAGCAACCUACCGAUAUCUACGGUAUAGCCCGGCGAAAGUCGGAUUAAUCCCGUAUGUGAUAUAGAGGCGGCAUCGUUUUUAUAUUAAAUAUUUAUAGGAUAUCGAUGGGCUCGCGUGACAUUAGCUAGUUGGUACGGGUAACGGCCUACCAAGGCUAUGAUGUCUAGGGGCUCUGAGAGGAGAAUCCCCCACACUGGGACUGAGACACGGCCCAGACUCCUACGGGAGGCAGCAGUAAGGGAUAUUGGUCAAUGGAGGGAACUCUGAACCAGCCAUGCCGCGUGCAGGAUGACUGCCCUCAGGGUUGUAAACUGCUUUUAUACGGGAAUAAUUAUGUGUACCUGUACUCAUUUGAAUGUACUGUAUGAAUAAGGAUCGGCUAACUCCGUGCCAGCAGCCGCGGUAAUACGGAGGAUCCGAGCGUUAUCCGGAUUUAUUGGGUUUAAAGGGUGCUUAGGCUGCAUUUUAAGUCAGUGGUGAAAUUUAUGGGCUUAACCUAUAACUUGCCAUUGAUACUGGGGUGCUUGAAUAGGUUCGAGGAUGGCGGAAUGUGACGAGUAGCGGUGAAAUGCAUAGAUAUGUCACAGAACACCGAUUGCGUAGGCAGCUAUCCAGGUCUUUAUUGACGCUGAAUCACGAAAGCGUGGGGAUCAAACAGGAUUAGAUACCCUGGUAGUCCACGCUGUAAACUAUGAUAACUCGAUGUUGGCGAUAUACUGUCAGUGUCCAAGCGAAAGCGUUAAGUUAUCCACCUGGGGAGUACGUUCGCAAGAAUGAAACUCAAAGGAAUUGACGG
rnacentral:rRNA from 1 species